AUGUCAACAAUGCAGAGCGUGACCGAACGUUUGCUACUAAAAAAAAAACAAGGGAUACGAUUAAAAUUACUAACAAGAUUUUUUGAUCCCGGUGAUAGUGUGUGUGUUCGGGAUUGAUUCAAACGCAUCUUUACGGCUGUCAAUACGUACCAAAUCAGUAACUACGACAUUCGAAUUAAAGCCUUUUAAAGGAGCGAGCUAGAAAGUGUGCAGACGAUUGGUUAGUUGCAACAUCUACACAAGAGGCAUUACGUGAGACCAUAGCUAACAUUUGUUAUUAUCCUUUGAGCUAACCUCGUGUCCAUGAUGUAUUCUGAAGAGAACCAUGAGAUUCUGUAGGGAAGGCUUGUGGUACCGUGACAAGACAAUUAUACACCACAGAUCUGGAGAGCGUGACCUCUGAGCUAAUCGCGUGUUACCCUUGAGCUAACCACGGGUCCUUGAUGUAUCCAUAAGAGAACCAUGAGAUUCCGUAGGGAUGCCUUGUGGAGCCGUGAGAAGACAAGUCUACACCACAGAUGUGGAGAGCGUACCUCUGAACUAAUCGCGUGUUACUCUUGAGCCAACCACAGGUUCUUGCUGUAUCCUUAAGAAUACCAUGAGAUGACGUAGGGAGGCCUUGGGAAGACUUGAGUAGAAAGGAUGGUCGAGGCGGAAAGAAGAUACAAAGCUAGGUUUUUGAGAGACCGUGGAUGACUUCGAAAUGUGGCACAUGACCAGCUACGAAUGUGGCACAUGACCAGCUACGAUGAGACUUCACAGCGUCUGAGGGACGACACAGAAUUACUAAGCAAGCAGUAAGGUGGACUGUUCGCCUACCUAAUAGUUAUCCGGUGAGCGUAUUUCAUUUUGUUCAAAUUACUU